rnacentral:lncRNA from 1 species
UUUGCCAACUUAUUAACUGUAUGACCUUAGGCAGGUCACUGGCAGCCCCUCUCUGAGCCUGUUUCCUAGUCAAUAAAAUGGACUAGAUGAAUUAACAUCCCAAGAUUCUUUCCAGUUCUGUACUUCUUAGUUCUAUUGUCACAUAAGAACCCUCCCAGUUCUGGCAUUCUAGGAUCUAAGCUCUAAAAUCUCAAGAUAUGUUAACGAACAGAAGUAUCUUCCAAGAAACUGAAAAAUGACUUGGCUUUCCCAAUGGUUCAUCCUUUUCCACUUGGUCUUUGCUACCACAAAAAUGCUUUGAUGUGAAUAUUUUGGUGUUUCUAUCUUCAAUGGAACAAAUAAAGACAUUUUAGUCACUUUCUUAG